rnacentral:sRNA from 1 species
GCCAGGCAUGGUGCUGCAUGCCUGUAAUCCCAGCUACAUGGGAGGCUGAGGCAGGAGAAUCACUUGAACCCAGGAGGCAGAGACUGCAGUGAGCCGAGAUCGCGCCACUGCACUCCAGCCUGGGUAACAAGAGUGAAACUCAGUCUCAA